UCAUGUGUUUGAUUCUAUGCAAACUCAGUGACCUUCCUUGUUACUCAGCUAUAAAAACUUCAGAUCAGACUGUCAGUGGAGUUCACAGCUCGUCAGCUUCACCAUAAACCAUGUUUUCUGUAGCUCUGCUGCUGCUGUUGGCAGCUGGAUCCUGUGUGAAGUGUGAACAGUUGACACAGCCAGCCUCUGUGACUGUGCAGCCAGGUCAACGUCUCACCAUCACCUGUCAGGUCUCUUAUUCUGUUAGCAGCUACUACACAGCUUGGAUCAGACAGCCUGCAGGGAAAGGACUGGAGUGGAUUGGAAUUGCUGCUACUGGAUACACAACAUACUAUAAAAAUUCACUAAAGAACAAAUUCAGUAUUGAAACAGACUCUUCCAGCAAAACAGUGACUCUAAAUGGAAAGAAUGUGCAGCCUGAAGACACUGCUGUGUAUUACUGUGCCAGACACACAAUAACACAAACCAUCAGUAGACCUGAACAAAAACCCCUCAGUGCCUGAACACUUGUAACAUGAAGCCACCAGAGGAGGAGCCCUCAGACCACUAAUGAUUUCACACCAGCUCACUGUUACAGUCAAGAGGGAAACAGUGUUUAGAUUUUACAAAUGGUUCUUAAUUAAAUUUUACAGCAACUGUUUUCAACAAUUUAAAUAUGCUGACUUCAUAAUCUCUGAAAUAUUACUGUAUGUUUCCCAAAGUGAAAACUGAAUAACACUAUUACACCUUUCAAGUGAUGAAAUUCAUCCAGCUGAGAACCUGGUUUUAAAAAGGUCAUAAUCCAACAAGACAUGGAUCUUU